AAUGUCCUGCAUUGGGGAAAAAUUAUGAUAUUAUUGAAUCUUUUCUCAUUGAUGCUAUUUAUGUUGUGUCACUCAUUUAAGGCUGGCUGUUCGGCCUGCUCCCCGUCGAUUGAGGCUAUUGCUUUUAAUCUAGUUCUUCCCCUUUCCAUAACCGAGAUGUUUUUCCUACAUUGGAGGAGAAGGUGGGCUGAGGUUGGACCAAAACUAUAUCAGAAUGUAGGUUCUUUAGGCGUGAAAAUGACACAACUAAUGCUUAUUUCAGAAUGUCUUGGAAAGCUUGUUUUUAGAUUUGUUAUUGGUCUUGAAUUUUUUUAUGUUCUUAACCAAAUGUCGUUGCUGCUGGUAAGGCCCAUGAUCAUGAACUGGAAGGUGAACAGUGAUACUUUUUUUUCCAAGACUUUCCUAACACUUGAUAUGGCAAGCAUUUUAUGCAGAGGUUGGGCACUAUUGCAUGAAUUCGUGAACUUGAUCCUAACAUUAUGGGUUUUCCUGAAUUUGGUUGCUUGCCCAUGCCUGGUGUGAUUGGCGAACCAAGAGCCUCUAAUGCCAUUCACCAUUCAACGACAACUUUUCUACAAAAAGCAAAAUACUUUAUACAACCAAAGGAGGUUGUUGAGUUGGUUGAAGGCAUCCUCAGGAAUGUGUUGUUGAUGUACUGAACAUGAAAUAAUGUCUUUUCUUUUUAUGUUUGUUGUGGUUUAAUGCAUAAUGUUUGUUGUGGUUGAAAGCAUAUGUUGCCAGCAACCAAAACUGGUUUGAUAUCGGCAUUUCCAAUGGGUUAAACACUUGCUAGAAGAUAGAGUCUAUACAUAGGAUUGAGUUGCAACUCAUUACCAAGAGAUUGGAGUAACUUCGGAUCGAUGAAGGCCGAGAGGUAUGCUUCAAAGAGCAAAGUUUGCUGGCCUAACACUCACCUUGGGAUAGAUGUUGAUUGGAGAAAAAAGAGGGGAUAUACUAGUCUUGAUCAUACACCCAACAUACAGUAAUUGAAAGCAGCACUUAUUAUGACCAUUUCCCUGGUUGGAUGGAAGGCACAAGAGGUUCGAAUGUGUGAAUUCUGAAGCACUCAUCGCACAUUCAACCAUGCAUGCGCACACCGAUGUGGUGAAUAAGAUGAUUAAUUAGCAAAGGUAAGUAACAAGUACAUAAUAGUCGUCAUCAGGGAGAGAUAAUAUGCCUCAAUGGAUUUAAAUCCCAAUUGACGAGGUAUUCUUCCAUGUCCUUCUGGUGUGAAGCAUCAUGAUCACAAAGCGAUUCCAUGAUGCUAAGAAUGGGAAUUAAGUUGGAGGAAGCUGCCCCCAGCCUUGCCCCCUAAGUAUUCCAAGUAUGUCAAGGCAGCAUAGCAGUUGCUUGGUGAGGUUGUGAAUAUUAGAAAUGCUUUGAGAUCUGAGACCAACAAGAGCCAAAGCUUUCGGACAUCCGGUUCCAAGGAGAUGGAUACAGGAACAAAUGCUUCUGUAAGACCACGAUAGGUUUUUGAGAGCAGACAAAAAAUCUUACAAGUCAUGUAAGUGGGUUUUGCAAGGAGAAAAGUUCAAAGCUCAGAAUCUACUAUCAUCUGAUCGGCUCAUUUGGAUGCAGAAGUAUUAUAAGGAGAAGGGUUCCUUGAUAUUUGAGCUCUAAAUCUACUCUCAGCUCAUGACCAGCUCAUUUGGAUGUGGAAGUGGGUUUUGCAAAGGAAAGGGUCCUAAACAGUGGUGGAACAAGAAGUGCUGGAUUAAACUGUUCUGC